rnacentral:tRNA from 1 species
GCUCCCAUGGCGUAGUGGUCACUGCGCUCGCUUUGCACGCGGGAGACCCGGGUUUGAUUCCCGGCGGGGUCA